rnacentral:rRNA from 1 species
UGGGGAAUUUCCGCAAUGGGCGAAAGCCUGACGGAGCAACGCCGCGUGAGGGAUGAAGGCCUCUGGGCUGUAAACCUCUUUUAUCAAGGAAGAAGAUCUGACGGUACUUGAUGAAUAAGCCACGGCUAAUUCCGUGCCAGCAGCCGCGGUAAUACGGGAGUGGCAAGCGUUAUCCGGAAUUAUUGGGCGUAAAGCGUCCGCAGGCGGCCCAACAAGUCUGCUGUUAAAAAGUGGAGCUUAACUCCAUCAUGGCAGUGGAGACUGUUGGGCUAGAGUGCGGUAGGGGCAGAGGGAAUUCCCGGUGUAGCGGUGAAAUGCGUAGAUAUCGGGAAGAACACCAGUGGCGAAGGCGCUCUGCUGGGCCAUCACUGACGCUCAUGGAC